rnacentral:rRNA from 1 species
GAGGCGAACCGGGGGAACUGAAACAUCUAAGUACCCCGAGGAAAAGAAAUCAACCGAGAUUCCGAAAGUAGCGGCGAGCGAAAUUGGACUAGCCCUUAAGCUUUACACGCGUUAGACGAACGGUCUGGAAAGUCCGACGAUACAGGGUGAUAGUCCCGUAGUUGACGACGUGUGUUCAGUGAAAUCGAGUAGGGCGGGACACGUGAUAUCCUGUCUGAAUAUGGGGGGACCAUCCUCCAAGGCUAAAUACUACUGACUGACCGAUAGUGAACCAGUACCGUGAGGGAAAGGCGAAAAGAACCCCUGUGAGGGGAGUGAAAUAGAACCUGAAACCGUGUACGUACAAGCAGUAGGAGCACCUUCGUGGUGUGACUGCGUACCUUUUGUAUAAUGGGUCAGCGACUUAUAUUCAGUGGCAAGGUUAACCAUCUAGGGGAGCCGUAGGGAAACCGAGUCUUAACUGGGCGUUCAGUCUCUGGAUAUAGACCCGAAACCAGGUGAUCUAGCCAUGGGCAGGUUGAAGGUUGAGUAACAUCAACUGGAGGACCGAACCGACUAAUGUUGAAAAAUUAGCGGAUGACUUGUGGCUAGGGGUGAAAGGCCAAUCAAACCUGGAGAUAGCUGGUUCUCCCCGAAAGCUAUUUAGGUAGCGCCUCGGACGAAUACUACUGGGGGUAGAGCACUGUUAAGGCUAGGGGGUCAUCCCGACUUACCAACCCUUUGCAAACUCCGAAUACCAGUAAGUACUAUCCGGGAGACACACGGCGGGUGCUAACGUCCGUCGUGGAGAGGGAAACAACCCAGACCGCCAGCUAAGGUCCCAAAUUACUACUAAGUGGGAAACGAUGUGGGAAGGCUCAGACAGCCAGGAUGUUGGCUUAGAAGCAGCCAUCAUUUAAAGAAAGCGUAAUAGCUCACUGGUCGAGUCGGCCUGCGCGGAAGAUGUAACGGGGCUAAGUAGUAAACCGAAGCUGCGGCAAURURCUUUUGYAYAUUGGGUAGGGGAGCGUUCUGUAAGCGGUUGAAGGUGUGUGGUAACGCAUGCUGGACGUAUCAGAAGUGCGAAUGCUGACAUGAGUAACGAUAAAGGGGGUGAAAAACCUCCUCGCCGGAAGACCAAGGGUUCCUGUCCAACGUUAAUCGGGGCAGGGUAAGUCGACCCCUAAGGCGAGGCCGAAAGGCGUAGUCGAUGGGAAACGGGUUAAUAUUCCCGUACUUCUUACAAUUGCGAUGGGGGGACGGAGAAGGCUAGGUGGGCCUGGCGACGGUUGUCCAGGUUCAAGUGCGUAGGCUURAGAGUUAGGUAAAUCCGGCUCUUUYUAAGGCUGAGACACGACGUCGAGCACCUACGGGUGUGAAGUCAUUGAUGCCAUGCUUCCAGGAAAAGCCUCUAAGCUUCAGAUUGUAAGGAAUCGUACCCCAAACCGACACAGGUGGUCGGGUAGAGAAUACCAAGGCGCUUGAGAGAACUCGGGUGAAGGAACUAGGCAAAAUGGUACCGUAACUUCGGGAGAAGGUACGCUCUCGACGGUGAAGUCCCUCGCGGAUGGAGCUAUUGAGAGUCGCAGAUACCAGGUGGCUGCAACUGUUUAUUAAAAACACAGCACUGUGCAAAAUCGUAAGAUGACGUAUACGGUGUGACGCCUGCCCGGUGCCGGAAGGUUAAUUGAUGGGGUUAGACUUCGGUCGAAGCUCUUGAUCGAAGCCCCGGUAAACGGCGGCCGUAACUAUAACGGUCCUAAGGUAGCGAAAUUCCUUGUCGGGUAAGUUCCGACCUGCACGAAUGGCGUAAUGAUGGCCACGCUGUCUCCACCCGAGACUCAGUGAAAUUGAAAUCGCUGUGAAGAUGCAGUGUACCCGCGGCUAGACGGAAAGACCCCGUGAACCUUUACUACAGCUUGGCACUGAACAUUGACCCUACAUGUGUAGGAUAGGUGGGAGGCUUUGAAGCACGUACGCCAGUAUGUGUGGAGCCGUCCUUGAAAUACCACCCUUGUAGUGUUGAUGUUCUAACGUCGACCCCUWAUCGGGGUURCGGACAGUGCCUGGUGGGUAGUUUGACUGGGGCGGUCUCCUCCCAAAGAGUAACGGAGGAGCACGAAGGUGGGCUAAUCACGGUUGGACAUCGUGAGGUUAGUGCAAUGGCAUAAGCCCGCUUGACUGCGAGAAUGACAAUUCGAGCAGGUGCGAAAGCAGGUCAUAGUGAUCCGGUGGUUCUGAAUGGAAGGGCCAUCGCUCAACGGAUAAAAGGUACUCCGGGGAUAACAGGCUGAUACCGCCCAAGAGUUCAUAUCGACGGCGGUGUUUGGCACCUCGAUGUCGGCUCAUCACAUCCUGGGGCUGAAGUCGGUCCCAAGGGUAUGGCUGUUCGCCAUUUAAAGUGGUACGCGAGCUGGGUUUAGAACGUCGUGAGACAGUUCGGUCCCUAUCUGCCGUGGGCGUUGGAAGAUUGAUGAGCUAACUGAUACUAAUUGCCCGUGAGGCUUAACCAUACAACACCCAAGGGGUUU